rnacentral:rRNA from 1 species
UAAUACGAGUGCCUCAAGCGUUAUCCGGAAUUAUUGGGCGUAAAGGGUGCGCAGGCGGACCUAUUAGUCUCAUGUUAAAACUUCGGGCUCAACCCGAAAAAUGCAUGGGAAACGGUAGGUCUUGAGGAUGUGAGAGGUGUACAGAACUCUAGGUGUAGGGGUGAAAUCCGUUGAUAUCUAGGGGAAUACCGAAUGCGAAGGCAGUACACUGGCACAUUCCUGACGCUCAUGCACGAAAGCGUGGGUAGCGAAUGGG